AAGCAAUAAUCAUUCUCCACCGUCCCUGUGAAUUUCUGUCAGUUUUUGUUUCCAUUCAUUCUAAGUUUCACUUAAUUUGGGAAUUUUAUCCAAAAUCAGGGCUGAACAAAACACCUCUCCCCUUUCCCAUCAGUCUUCUCUUCCUACCAAAACACCCACUGGCUGAACACUCAACCCUUCAUAUCUGAACCUCUCCACCAUCGCCGUUCACCGCCGCUCACCGACACUGCCAGAUCCCUUCUAUCUCACAGGCGUUCAUCUAUCUCCAUCUCCAUCACCCAUCGUUAGCCUCCGUGACCACGAUUACAGCGCCCCCUCUUUCCGCCUCCAACAGCAGUGUUGCCCCUGUCUCUCACGUUCUGAGCCUCCGUGACUCCUGUGUUCGCCGCCUCUGAUCCACCAGCGUAGCGGCGUUCUCCAUCACCGCACCCCUGACAUUAGAGAUGUUAUUGGUUUCAAUUCAUCACAUUUUCAUUGCCAAUCUACAAAUUACACCCAAAUAAAAAGGAGAGAGUUAGCUGGUUUCACUUUUAGUCGCCCAAAAUUGUCUCAUUUUUGUGAAUUAGCCUGUAUGUAAAAUGGAAGAAGCUGGAGAAAGAGAAGAGGUUGGGGAUCAACUAUUUUUUUGUAACGUAUUUAAAUGAGCAAUAUUUGAAGUUAUUUACUUUUAAAACUAA